rnacentral:misc_RNA from 1 species
GAUGAAGAACGUAGCUAAAUGCGAUAAGUAAUGUGAAUUGCAGAAUUCAGUGAAUCAUCGAAUCUUUGAACGCACAUUGCGCCCCUUGGUAUUCCGAGGGGCAUGCCUGUUCGAGCGUCAUUAUAACCCCUCAAGCUUAGCUUGGUGUUGGGGCCUGCUGUAAUAGAGCAGCCCUUAAAAUCAGUGGCGGUGCCAUUAGGCUCUAAGCGUAGUAAUUCUUCUCGCUAUAGGGUUCUGGUGGAUGCUUGCCAUUAACCUCUAAUUUUCUAUGGUUGACCUCGGAUCAGGUAGGGAUACCCGCUGAACUUAAGCAUAUCAAUAAGCGGAGGA